AGCGAACGCUGGCGGCAGGCCUAACACAUGCAAGUCGAACGAACUCUUCGGAUUUAGUGGCGGACGGGUGAGUAACACGUGGGAACGUUCCUUUUGGUUCGGAAUAACUCAGGGAAACUUGUGCUAAUACCGAAUGUGCCCUUCGGGGGAAAGAUUUAUCGCCAUUAGAGCGGCCCGCGUCUGAUUAGCUAGUUGGUGAGGUAACGGCUCACCAAGGCGACGAUCAGUAGCUGGUCUGAGAGGAUGACCAGCCACACUGGGACUGAGACACGGCCCAGACUCCUACGGGAGGCAGCAGUGGGGAAUCUUGCGCAAUGGGCGAAAGCCUGACGCAGCCAUGCCGCGUGAAUGAUGAAGGUCUUAGGAUUGUAAAAUUCUUUCACCGGGGACGAUAAUGACGGUACCCGGAGAAGAAGCCCCGGCUAACUUCGUG
rnacentral:rRNA from 1 species